ACGAACGCUGGCGGCAUGCCUAACACAUGCAAGUCGAACGAGACCUUCGGGUCUAGUGGCGCACGGGUGCGUAACACGUGGGAAUCUGCCCUUUGCUUCGGAAUAACAGUUAGAAAUGACUGCUAAUACCGGAUGAUGUCGAAAGACCAAAGAUUUAUCGGCAAAGGAUGAGCCCGCGUAGGAUUAGGUAGUUGGUGGGGUAAAGGCCUACCAAGCCGACGAUCCUUAGCUGGUCUGAGAGGAUGAUCAGCCACACUGGGACUGAGACACGGCCCAGACUCCUACGGGAGGCAGCAGUGGGGAAUAUUGGACAAUGGGCGAAAGCCUGAUCCAGCAAUGCCGCGUGAGUGAUGAAGGCCUUAGGGUUGUAAAGCUCGUUUACCAGGGAUGAUAAUGACAGUACCUGGAGAAUAAGCUCCGGCUAACUCCGUG
rnacentral:rRNA from 1 species